rnacentral:rRNA from 1 species
CAGCAGUGGGGAAUAUUGCACAAUGGGGGAAACCCUGAUGCAGCGACGCCGCGUGAGCGAAGAAGUAUUUCGGUAUGUAAAGCUCUAUCAGCAGGGAAGAAAAUGACGGUACCUGACUAAGAAGCCCCGGCUAACUACGUGCC